rnacentral:rRNA from 1 species
AAUUUUACAAGAACGCUGGCGGCAUGCCUAAUACAUGCAAGUCGAACGAGCCCUUCGGGGUUAGUGGCGCACGGGUGCGUAACGCGUGGGAAUCUGCCCUUGGGUUCGGAAUAACGUCUGGAAACGGACGCUAAUACCGGAUGAUGACGAAAGUCCAAAGAUUUAUCGCCCAGGGAUGAGCCCGCGUAGGAUUAGCUAGUUGGUGAGGUAAAGGCUCACCAAGGCGACGAUCCUUAGCUGGUCUGAGAGGAUGAUCAGCCACACUGGGACUGAGACACGGCCCAGACUCCUACGGGAGGCAGCAGUAGGGAAUAUUGGACAAUGGGGGCAACCCUGAUCCAGCAAUGCCGCGUGAGUGAUGAAGGCCUUAGGGUUGUAAAGCUCUUUUACCCGGGAUGAUAAUGACAGUACCGGGAGAAUAAGCCCCGGCUAACUCCGUGCCAGCAGCCGCGGUAAUACGGAGGGGGCUAGCGUUGUUCGGAAUUACUGGGCGUAAAGCGCACGU